CCGGCGCACGGGUGAGUAACACGUAUGCAAUCCACCUGUAACAGGGGGAUAACCCGGAGAAAUCCGGACUAAUACCCCAUAAUAUGGGCGCUCCGCAUGGAGAGCCCAUUAAAGAGAGCAAUUUUGGUUACAGACGAGCAUGCGCUCCAUUAGCCAGUUGGCGGGGUAACGGCCCACCAAGGCGACGAUGGGUAGGGGUUCUGAGAGGAAGGUCCCCCACAUUGGAACUGAGACACGGUCCAA
rnacentral:rRNA from 1 species